rnacentral:rRNA from 1 species
UACGUAGGGUGCGAGCGUUUGUCCGGAAUUAUUGGGCGUAAAGAGCUCGUAGGCGGUUUGUCGCGUCGGCCGUGAAAUCUCCACGCUUAACGUGGAGCGUGCGGUCGAUACGGGCAGACUUGAGUUCGGCAGGGGAGACUGGAAUUCCUGGUGUAGCGGUGAAAUGCGCAGAUAUCAGGAGGAACACCGGUGGCGAAGGCGGGUCUCUGGGCCGAUACUGACGCUGAGGAGCGAAAGCGUGGGGAGCGAACAGG